rnacentral:rRNA from 1 species
CGCAGAUACCAGGUGGCUGCAACUGUUUAUUAAAAACACAGCACUGUGCAAAAUCGUAAGAUGACGUAUACGGUGUGACGCCUGCCCGGUGCCGGAAGGUUAAUUGAUGGGGUUAGACUUCGGUCGAAGCUCUUGAUCGAAGCCCCGGUAAACGGCGGCCGUAACUAUAACGGUCCUAAGGUAGCGAAAUUCCUUGUCGGGUAAGUUCCGACCUGCACGAAUGGCGUAAUGAUGGCCACGCUGUCUCCACCCGAGACUCAGUGAAAUUGAAAUCGCUGUGAAGAUGCAGUGUACCCGCGGCUAGACGGAAAGACCCCGUGAACCUUUACUACAGCUUGGCACUGAACAUUGACCCUACAUGUGUAGGAUAGGUGGGAGGCUUUGAAGCACGUACGCCAGUAUGUGUGGAGCCGUCCUUGAAAUACCACCCUUGUAGUGUUGAUGUUCUAACGUCGACCCCUUAUCGGGGUUGCGGACAGUGCCUGGUGGGUAGUUUGACUGGGGCGGUCUCCUCCCAAAGAGUAACGGAGGAGCACGAAGGUGGGCUAAUCACGGUUGGACAUCGUGAGGUUAGUGCAAUGGCAUAAGCCCGCUUGACUGCGAGAAUGACAAUUCGAGCAGGUGCGAAAGCAGGUCAUAGUGAUCCGGUGGUUCUGAAUGGAAGGGCCAUCGCUCAACGGAUAAAAGGUACUCCGGGGAUAACAGGCUGAUACCGCCCAAGAGUUCAUAUCGACGGCGGUGUUUGGCACCUCGAUGUCGGCUCAUCACAUCCUGGGGCUGAAGUCGGUCCCAAGGGUAUGGCUGUUCGCCAUUUAAAGUGGUACGCGAGCUGGGUUUAGAACGUCGUGAGACAGUUCGGUCCCUAUCUGCCGUGGGCGUUGGAAGAUUGAAGGGGGCUGCUCCUAGUACGAGAGGACCGGAGUGGACGAACCUCUGGUGUUCGGGUUGUGUCGCCAGACGCAUUGCCCGGUAGCUAAGUUCGGAAUCGAUAACCGCUGAAAGCAUCUAAGCGGGAAGCGAGCCCUGAGAUGAGUCUUCCCUGAUACUUUAAGUAUCCUAAAGGGUUGUCGGAGACUACGACGUUGAUAGGUCAGGUGUGUAAGUGCUGUGAGGCAUUGAGCUAACUGAUACUAAUUGCCCGUGAGGCUUAACCAUACAACAC